AUGCCCCGCGCCGCCGCCAUCCGGCGCAACCGGGCAAGGCUCGCCUCCGACACGUUCAGCGAGUCCAGGGCGGGCGAGUACCAAGCUACGGCCGGGGACUGA
rnacentral:rRNA from 1 species